rnacentral:rRNA from 1 species
UCGUUCUGCGUGCAGGCUUCGACAAUGAUCCCUUCCGUAGGUGAACCUGCGGAAGGAUCAUUGUCGAAGCCUGCACAGCAGAACGACCCGUGAACAUGUAAUCACAACCGGGCGUCGUGGGAUUGGGUGUGAGCCUUAGCCCUACGAUGCUCGUCGGCAUGCGUGCAAGGUGCUUAUCUCUAGGCAUCGUGGAUGUUGUGUCGGCACAAAAACAAACCCCGGCACGGCAUGUGCCAAGGAAAACAAAACUUAAGAAGGGUGCGUCUCGUGUUGCCCCGUUUUCGGUGUGCACACGGGUCGUGGCCUCUCAUUAACCACAAACGACUCUCGGCAACGGAUAUCUCGGCUCACGCAUCGAUGAAGAACGUAGCAAAAUGCGAUACUUGGUGUGAAUUGCAGAAUCCCGUGAACCAUCGAGUUUUUGAACGCAAGUUGCGCCCGAAGCCAUUCGGCCGAGGGCACGUCUGCCUGGGCGUCACGCAUCGCGUCGCCCCAGACCAUGCUCCCCCAUGGGGACGUGUUUGGUCUGGGACGGAGACUGGUCUCCCGUGCUCAUGGUGCGGUUGGCCUAAAAAGGAGUCCCCUUUGGCGGACGCACGGCUAGUGGUGGUUGUCAAGGCCUUCGUAUCGAGCCGUGUUGAUGCUAGGGAAUCGCUCUCUAAAGACCCUAACGUGUCGUCUUUACGACGAUGCUUCGACCGCGACCCCAGGUCAGGCGGGACUACCCGCUGAGUUUAAGCAUAUCAAUAAGCGGAGGAAGGAUCAUUGUCGAAGCCUUACGCAUAAGAC